rnacentral:rRNA from 1 species
UACGGGGGGAGCAAGCGUUGUUCGGAUUUACUGGGCGUAAAGGGCGCGUAGGCGGUCAGCACAAGUCAGUUGUGAAAUCUCCGGGCUUAACUCGGAAAGGUCAACUGAUACUGUGCGACUAGAGUGCAGAAGGGGCAACUGGAAUUCUCGGUGUAGCGGUGAAAUGCGUAGAUAUCGAGAGGAACACCAGUGGCGAAGGCGGCUCACUGGCCCGGUACUGACGCUGAGGCACGAAAGCGUGGGGAGCAAACAGG